GACGAACGCUGGCGGCGUGCUUAACACGUGCAAGUCGAACGGAAAGGCCCUGCUUUUGUGGGGCGCUCGAGUGGCGAACGGGUGAGUAACACGUGAGUAACCUGCCCUUGACUUUGGGAUAACUUCAGGAAACUGGGGCUAAUACCGGAUAGGAGCUCCUGCUGCAUGGUGGGGGUUGGAAAGUUUCGGCGGUUGGGGAUGGACUCGCGGCUUAUCAGCUUGUUGGUGGGGUAGUGGCUUACCAAGGCUUUGACGGGUAGCCGGCCUGAGAGGGUGACCGGCCACAUUGGGACUGAGAUACGGCCCAGACUCCUACGGGAGGCAGCAGUGGGGAAUAUUGCACAAUGGGCGGAAGCCUGAUGCAGCAACGCCGCGUGCGGGAUGACGGCCUUCGGGUUGUAAACCGCUUUCGCCUGUGACGAAGCGUGAGUGACGGUAAUGGGUAAAGAAGCACCGGCUAACUACGUG
rnacentral:rRNA from 1 species